AAAAACAAUAAGUUUCAAACCGUUGACCUGGAAGGACGUGUUCGUUCGCUUGCUCCCGUGUGCGUUUUUUUGCUAUACGUAAAUGUUAUCGUUGUUCUCAGAAUUUGGUCGCUUAAGCUAGUAAAACCGAGUGAAUCGAAAGCUUGGCCCAGUGUACGAUAAAACGAAACCAGUGCAAUUAUUUUAAAGACGCUACCAUUUUUUUCUGGCUGGCGCAGUGUUACCGCAUGCGGUUUGGAUAAAGAAGUGGAAAGAAAACGCAUCGCUGCAUCAGGUGGAUCAGCCCGAUUACUUUGAUGUAAAGCAAGAGUAAAAAAAGGCAUAAUUUGUCAUUCGAAUGCCAAAAAAAAACGGUUGUGCAAAAUCUGUUCCGGGUUGUGAAAUGUAAUUGGUGAUAAUUUAGGUUAUCGUUGUGAUUGUUAAUUAUUUGUACAAAUUCGGUGGUAAUUUGUGGCCUGUGUAUAUCGAUACGCGACGCAAUCGGGUGCUAGCCAAAGUGAGCGAGAAUAGCGGUGAAUUUAUCGUUUACUUCACGCAGUGCUGUUGCUAUUUUUACAUUCCCGACUUGCAUGUAAAAAGAAUAGAAAAAAGCAAAGAAAAAACGAUUGCCAUUACACCCCGUAGUACGCAGCGAAGGGGUAGUGACGUUUUCUACGCGCAAAGUUUGAAACGCACCAGGCCCCCUCUAAACGCUGUUACCAGCCCGUUAUCAGCAGCCACACAUACACACACGCGUAUAAUCGGAAGGCGCAUCGAUCGUGCCAUCGCGCACACAACACAGCCCACAAAGUCCAAAAAUCUACCCAGCUUAUCUGUAGCGCUAGGGCGAAGGAGUGAACAAUCAUCACCCGAAACCACGCGCCACGGUGGCCUGACAUUUUGGGCCGUAAACUAGAUUUGCCGGCGUGUCUGCUGCUGCGUGUGGCUCAUCCACUGCAUCCGGGGGCGAAAGAUUCCCGAUUACACCAGCCAAACGCGCCCUUGCAGGAGAUAGCGCGAUGAAUAACCUCAUUGCGAAGAAGCGUCCAGAUCCGGUGGCAGAUUCACUGAAGCAGUUGUUAAAGGCCAACUCUCCCACGGAGAUGCGGGACAUUGCGGCACGGAUCUGCCGGGACUAUCUGACCGGUGCGUGGAAAACGAUAUCCGCCGACGAGCUGCAGCUGAAGCGCAUUAGCGGUGGACUCUCCAACUUCCUGUACUACGUCAGCCUGCCGGAGCAUCACUAUUACAGCAACAAUAACAAUGGUGGAUCGAAAUCGAAUCCCAGCUCGCGGCGAGGUUCCUUCGCAUCGGAGCGCGUUGUCACGAAGACGUCCAGCAAGACCAGAAACGGUAGCAAGCGUGCCCGAAAGGAUAGCUGUGCCGGAUUGCUAGAACCGAAAGAGGUGCUGCUACGAAUUUACGGGCAAACGCACGGAGAACAUGCGCUGGAAACAAUGCUCACCGAAUCGGUAGUCUUUACGCUGCUGAGCGAACGCAAGCUGGGCCCCAAACUGCACGGCAUCUUCCCCGGUGGACGUAUCGAGCAGUACAUUCCGGCCCGGGCACUGCUAACAGCGGAGCUAAGCGAUGCAAAAAUUUCACUCAAGGUGGCGGAAAAGAUGGCCGCCAUCCACAGCAUGGACAUACCGGUUUCGAAGGAACCGGACUGGAUCUGGAACAAGAUGAACCGAUGGUUGAAGGGCAUCACUGGCAUACUGGAAACGAUCGAGCGCGAUCGUGCGAACGGAAACACCGUGCUGAGCAAGGACGGUGGCGGCGGAGACCAAACAGCGAACACCAAGCAGCGGGACCAGGACGACGAACGCAUACUGACCGAGAUGGAUCUGGCGGGUGAGGUUGAAUGGUUACGAUCGGUGGUGGAGAGCGAAGAUUUUCCGGUCGUCUUUUGUCACAACGAUUUGCAGGAAGGCAACAUAUUGCUGCGGCAAGACUUUACCACGAUGCACGACACCACCACCAGCACCUAUCGCGAAUGCUCAACGCUCGAUAACUUUGACGAGUCAACGCAACUCGAUUCACAUUUCAGUAGCAUCCUUAUAUCGAAUGGUGUGGUGCCUAACAGUGAAUCAAUCACCACAACCGAUGGAGGAAAUAUCAAUCUGAAUCGAAUUUCAAGAAAACGUUCGCUGGAUCACGAUUCGAUGGAGAACGAUCUGGACAAUACGCGCGACUCCGUGCUGAGCGGCAACUCGCAAGCCCUCUCGGAUGCAAACUCCGUCACGGACGGCGAACCGGAACUGAUGAUCAUCGAUUUCGAGUACUGUGCCUACAACUACCGUGGAUUCGAUCUCGCCAACCACUUCCUCGAGUGGACGUUCGACUACACCAACGCGCAGUCCCCGUACUUCCACCACAAGCUGGACCAGUACCCUUCCGUCGAGCAGCAGUUACCCGGUCUCGACGGCCACCGUGCGCGCGCGGAGAUGCCUGCCGCGGGAGCGCUCUGUAAGAAAAGCACAGACAGACACACACACACAAUACACACUGCUUGCCCACGGCAGGAACAAAAAGGAUAAAGUAUCGCUCCUUCUCUCUGGUGGAUGAUGAUGAUGAUGGUGGUGGUGGUGGUGGUGCAUCAGAGCAUCAGUAAUGGUUUCUCUCGUUCUAGAAGGGCCCCCGGAAUGCCUUCGGCCGGCCCCGAUUUCUGAGUGUAUUGAUAGGCGUGCGUGUGUGUGCGCGCGUGUGUGAGAGGGGGCUGGGUACGUGCGUGCUUGUGUGUGUGUGUGUGAUUUGCACACUCUGUACCAGUACCACACGGAAGGGUUGGAACAUACACACACGCACACCUCGAGCAGUCGUCCUGAUUGAGUCGUCCGCCUUCUCCCUGUACUGCACUGCACUAAGAGCGAAUCUACCAGAAGUAGAGUUUGUUGUCACCUCAUUUACCAUUUCGUUUCCUUCCAGUCAUUCAUUCAUUCAUUCAUUCCGCGCCUUGUUUGUUGAUGUUGUUGUUUCUGUGUCACGUAAACGUUGUUCUACUUGACUUCCCGUUCAACAGAUAUGGAUAAUUGCAGUGUGAGACAUAGCAAUAAGAUCAUUCAAGAUCAUCAAGAAGCGAGAGUAGGAGAAGGGCGUCCUUUCCGUUGAGCUGUUGGAUUCUCUCUUUAAAAUCAGUCAGGCCAAACUGCAUCAGUGUUUGAUUCGAGCAAAAGUGCAGUUGAUCUAGGCCUUGAACAUCUUGAAGCACGAAUCAGAUUAGAAAGUAGAGACGCCGCCACUAGAUGCCGUAACGUACCAUGGUCGAACUAGGCUAAUCCUUGCUUCAAUUUACUGUCGACUGUCGACCGUUUUUUGGCAAUUUUUUUCAUCAGAAUAGCAUAAAAGUAAAAGCUCAGGAUGUGCUUAUUGUUUUACCCGACACUGUAAAUCGUCCGCUGCGAUACAAUUAUCUUGUUUCUGUUGCAUUUAUGUAUCACAAUCAAUUCAUAACCCGUAUAACAACAACAAAAAAGACAACCAACUAACAGUCGAAUGAAUGAAAAGUCGAAUUAUAAUGUGUUCUUUACCACACACACUCACACCCAGUGUGUUUCCUUUUGCCGGAUGUCCCUUUUCCCCCCUGACGAUCACUAACCGGUUUUGCUUUUGUUUGUCGUUUCGAAUUUUCCAUCUCUUCCCACCCUUGCUGGCUGCGUAGGAAAAAUUCAUCGUGGAGUACCUGAGCCAUCUAGCGCCGCCGGACGAUGGCCACGAGCUUGGCGACGACGAAGAGGAAGGGCGCUCCAAGGUGGGCUCAGCGGCGGGCAGUGAGAUAGACGAGAUCGAGCAGGUGCGUCGUGAGGUGCAGUGCUUUACGAUGGCUUCCCACCUGUUCUGGAGCCUUUGGGCGAUUGUGAACGUGUACCAGGAGAUUGAGUUCGGCUACAUGGAGUACGCCAUUUGCCGGCUGAAGCAGUACCAGCAAGCGAAAAAAUGCUACCUCGACACGAUGCAUACCGGUGAGGGGGAGCAAACACCGCCCCCAACACCGGUAGAUCCGGAGAAAUGAGCUGGCAGCGUGACGUGUGUGUGUGUGGUGUGUGUGUGCUAUGGGAAAGGUUGUUGCGGAAGGAUAGAUUUUACACCUGAGAACACUAAACUCUGAAUCUCGUACCGCGGUCGUAUCGAGUCCCUUUCCCUUUUGCUGACCAAUCGCGCAUUCACCCUUUCCCUCAUACGCAUCCUGGCCGGAGGCUGUGCUUGUACUUGUGUCGGAACGAAUUGGCUGUAAGACUCUUGAGUUAAGCAAAACAGAUUUUCUCAGAAUUAUUAUUAUUACACGCACACACGCACACGCUCACUUUUACUAGACGGAGACAGAUAUGAAAGCUUAAGGCGGCUGCUCCUUACGGAUGCGGAACAGAUAGUUCGUGCGAAUAUGGAUAUUUAGCUGACGGAUAAGACAGUGACUAGAUUAGUUGUUAUUGAGGAAACGCCAGUGUUGCCAACAUUUUUGCGAAGGAUUUCUGUGUGUGUGUGUGGGUGUGUGUUAGAAGGAUAAGGGAAUGUCCUAAAGCAGCAGUGUCGUCGUCAUUAGGUGAACAGCAGUAUUACAAGGGAGAGGGAAGCGCUAUAACUAUGUACGAGAUGCUAAUUUCUGUGGUAUUCUAGCUAUUACUGGUGUCCGAUGUUGUUGUGGGCUAUUUAUUGUUCUCUUUUCUUCUGCUGUGUGCUGGUGCCAUCGCGUGUGCCCUUCACAUGCUCCCCGUAUCCUAAUCGUAGAGGACGAAAGAGGACGCUAGGAAACGGGAAUGGUGAUAUGACGAAUUUAUACCGGAUUUGCUUUGUUUUAAUGUUUUAUUAACUUUGUUCUUAAUCAAGAAACCCCAAGGAGACUUUUGUUUUGCUUUUUCCUCUUUCAAUAAAUGUGUAACAUUUUGAUUUUAAUUCUUUUUUUUUCGUAACGGUUUUAGCUUAUGCUUCUCCUAGGAAAGCUCCAUGAUGAUGAAAUGUAGGAAUGUGUGUGUGUGUGUGUGUGUUUGUAAGUAGGACGACUUAUGACUGAUAGUAGAAGCCGUUUAUAAGGAAAUAGAAAAGCGUCAAGCAAAGAUUGAAAGAAAAUCCACGUUAAACAACUAAAAAAAAAGCGCCUAAAACACUGCACACUGCAAAAGGUUGUGUAGAAAAGUCCCCGAUACAUAUCCGUACCCGAAUAGAUGAUACGAGCUACAUUUUUACCAGUACAGCAGAGUUUAGGAUAAAGAAAGUUUAGGAAUCGAUCAAUCGUAUUGUGCACUUUCCCCUCUUUUUUGCGGAUAUAAAAUUAACUCUCUAUGCGUACUUAUUGAUACGCUGGUGUGCUUGACACGCAGGCCUAAUAAAAAGGAGAGUAGUGGUAGGCGAAUCGUUGGCAUGUUACAUUUAGCUAGCGCUAAUCUUAAAGACAAAAAACCCUUUCGAGCGGCACCACGAACCUGGCGAACCUAUCGUCGGUUGGGUGGGGUGUAGCGGCGUGUUGUUAGUAAUGUAAUUAGAAAAUCUUUCACGCUCCUUUUCAAGCUUAUACAUAUUGCAGAUCUUAUAUAACUAUAUACAUGAAUAAAGAACCUUUUCAGUACCACCUUGAUCACCUGAA